GAAAUGCGAUAAGUAAUGUGAAUUGCAGAAUUCAGUGAAUCAUCGAAUCUUUGAACGCACCUUGCGCUCCUUGGUAUUCCUCGUAGCAUGCCUGUUUGAGUAUCAUGAAAUCUUCAAAGUAAAUCUUUUGUUAACUCAAUUGGUUUCUACUUUGGUAUUGGAGGUCUUUGCAGCUUCACACCUGCUCCUCUUUGUUCAUUAGCUGGAUCUCAGUGUUAUGCUUGGUUCCACUCGGCGUGAUAAGUUAUCUAUCGCUGAGGACACUGUAAAAGGUGGCCAAGGUAAAUGCAGAUGAACCGCUUCUAAUAGUCCAUUGACUUGGACAAUACUUUUAUGAUCUGAUCUCAAAUCAGGUAGGACUACCCGCUGAACUUAAGC
rnacentral:misc_RNA from 1 species